rnacentral:rRNA from 1 species
ACUCCUACGGGAGGCAGCAGUGGGGAAUAUUGCGCAAUGGGCGAAAGCCUGACGCAGCGACGCCGCGUGGGGGAUGAAGGCCUUCGGGUUGUAAACCCCUUUCAGCAGGGACGAAGCGAAAGUGACGGUACCUGCAGAAGAAGCGCCGGCUAACUACGUGCCAGCAGCCGCGGUAACACGUAGGGCGCAAGCGUUGUCCGGAAUUAUUGGACGUAAAGAGCUCGUAGGCGGUCUGCUACGUCCGCUGUGAAAACCUAGGGCUUAACCCUGGGCUUGCAGUAGAUACGGGCAGACUAGAGGUAGGUAGGGGAGAAUGGAAUUCCCGGUGUAGCGGUGAAAUGCGCAGAUAUCGGGAGGAACACCGGUGGCGAAGGCGGUUCUCUGGGCCUUACCUGACGCUGAGGAGCGAAAGCGUGGGGAGCAAACAGGAUUAGAUACCCUGGUAGUCCACGCCGUAAACGUUGGGCGCUAGGUGUGGGGUCCUUCCACGGAUUCCGUGCCGCAGCUAACGCAUUAAGCGCCCCGCCUGGGGAGUACGGCCGCAAGGCUAAAACUCAAAUGAAUUGACGG